rnacentral:rRNA from 1 species
AUUGAACGCUGGCGGCAGGCUUAACACAUGCAAGUCGAGCGAGCGGCGGACGGGUGAGUACUGUCUGGGAACCUGCCUGAUGGAGGGGUAUAACUACUGGAAACGGUAGCUACUACCGCAUACCAUCAGAUGUGCCCAGAUGGGAUUAGCUAGUAGGUGGGGUAAUGGCUCACCUGGGCGACGAUCCCUAGCUGGUCUGAGAGGAUGACCAGCCACACUGGAACUGAGACACGGUCCAGACUCCUACGGGAGGCAGCAGUGGGGAAUAUUGGACAAUGGGCGAAAGCCUGAUGCAGCCAUGCCGCGUGUGUGAAGAAGGCCUUCGGGUUGUAAAGCACUUUUAGCGAGGAGGCGUUACCCGCAGAAGAAGCACCGGCUAACUACGUGCCAGCCGCCGCGGUAAUAC